rnacentral:rRNA from 1 species
UGGGGAAUUUUGGACAAUGGGCGCAAGCCUGAUCCAGCCAUGCCGCGUGCGGGAAGAAGGCCUUCGGGUUGUAAACCGCUUUUGUCAGGGAAGAAAUCUUCUGAGUUAAUACCUCGGGAGGAUGACGGUACCUGAAGAAUAAGCACCGGCUAACUACGUGCCAGCAGCCGCGGUAAUACGUAGGGUGCAAGCGUUAAUCGGAAUUACUGGGCGUAAAGCGUGCGCAGGCGGUUUUGUAAGACAGAGGUGAAAUCCCCGGGCUCAACCUGGGAACUGCCUUUGUGACUGCAAGGCUUGAGUGCGGCAGAGGGGGAUGGAAUUCCGCGUGUAGCAGUGAAAUGCGUAGAUAUGCGGAGGAACACCGAUGGCGAGGGCAAUCCCCUGGGCCUGCACUGACGCUCAUGCACGAAAGCGUGGGGAGCAAAACAGGAUUAGAUAGCCCUGGUAGUCCACGCCCUAAAACGAUGUCAACUGGUU